GUCAUUGCUGAAGAUGUAAAGCAAUUUAUUGCAUUUGGUUUCGACCCAGAAGAAGCCCCUCCGGGCUACAUCUU
rnacentral:tRNA from 1 species